GCUAGCUUAGUUAGCGGUGGUGCUAGUGUAACGGAUGUGAAACGGGCUAGCUUAGUUAGCGGUGGUGCUAGUGUAACGGAUGUGAAACGGGCUAGCUUAGUUAGCGGUGGUGCUAGUGUAACGGAUGUGAAACGGGCUAGCUUAGUUAGCGGUGGUGCUAGUGUAACGGAUGUGAAACGGCUAGCUUAGUUAGCGGUGGUGCUAGUGUAACGGAUGUGAAACGGCUAGCUUAAGUUAGCGGUGGUGCACGCUAAAUAGCGUUUCAAUCGGUGACGUCACUUGCUCUGAGACCUUGAAGUAGUAGUUCCCCUUUGCUCUGCAAGGGCCACGGCUUUUGUGGAGCGAUGGGUAACGAUGCUUUGUGGGUGACUGUUGUUGAUGUGUGCAGAGGGUCCCUGGUUCGCGCCCGGGUAUGGGCGAGGGGACGGUCUAAAGUUAUACUGUUACACAAGUAAUCAACGCUGUUGGAGAUUCUGACAAAUAUUUAUAUUGCGAAGAUCUCCAGAGACCUGGGACGAUUUAUGCCUGCUAUCUUUAGACUAUUCUCUGUAUUAAACGUGAUAUUGAAGCUUGUUUUGUUGACAAUGCAACCAAAUAUCAACAUUUUAAGGAGAUGUAUCUACUGCUGGGGUAGUUUCAACUGAGCAGCUGGCUUAAUCCCAUUCUUAACUUUUAUUAUUGGUUGAGUUAAAAAACUAUAUUAUUUGACCUUUAUUUAACUGGGCAAGUCAUUUAUCAGACCUUCCCCUUAUAUUACACCUUCCCCUAUAUCUCACCUUCCCCUAUGUCAGACCUUCCCCUUAUAUUACACCUUCCCCUAUAUCACACCUUCCCCUUAUAUUACACCUUCCCCUAUAUCACACCUUCCCCUAUAUCAGACCUUCCCAUAUAUCCCACCUUCCCUACAUCACACCUUCCCCUAUAUCACAACUUCCCCUAUAGCACACCUUCCCAUAUAUCCCACCUUCCCUACAUCACACCUUCCCCUAUAUCACACCUUCCCCUAUAUCAGACCUUCCCAUAUAUCACCCCUUCCACUAUAUCAGACCUUCCCCUAUAUCACACCUUCCCCUAUAUCAGACCUUCCCAUAUAUCACCCCUUCCACUAUAUCAGAUCUUCCCCUUAUAUCACAUCUUCCGCUAUNNNNNNNNNNNNNNGGCUAGCUUAGUUAGCGGUGGUGCUAGUGUAACGGAUGUGAAACGGGCUAGCUUAGUUAGCGGUGGUGCUAGUGUAACGGAUGUGAAACGGGCUAGCUUAGUUAGCGGUGGUGCUAGUGUAACGGAUGUGAAACGGGCUAGCUUAGUUAGCGGUGGUGCUAGUGUAACGGAUGUGAAACGGCUAGCUUAGUUAGCGGUGGUGCUAGUGUAACGGAUGUGAAACGGCUAGCUUAAGUUAGCGGUGGUGCACGCUAAAUAGCGUUUCAAUCGGUGACGUCACUUGCUCUGAGACCUUGAAGUAGUAGUUCCCCUUUGCUCUGCAAGGGCCACGGCUUUUGUGGAGCGAUGGGUAACGAUGCUUUGUGGGUGACUGUUGUUG
rnacentral:lncRNA from 13 species